AACGCUAGCUACAGGCUUAACACAUGCAAGUCGAGGGGCAGCGGGAUUGUAGCAAUACAAUUGCCGGCGACCGGCGCACGGGUGAGUAACACGUAUCCAACCUUCCGGUUACUCGGGGAUAGCCUUUCGAAAGAAAGAUUAAUACCCGAUAGUAUAAGAUUUCCGCAUGGUUCUCUUAUUAAAGAUUCAUCGGUAACCGAUGGGGAUGCGUUCCAUUAGAUAGUAGGCGGGGUAACGGCCCACCUAGUCGACGAUGGAUAGGGGUUCUGAGAGGAAGGUCCCCCACAUUGGAACUGAGACACGGUCCAAACUCCUACGGGAGGCAGCAGUGAGGAAUAUUGGUCAAUGGGCGAGAGCCUGAACCAGCCAAGUAGCGUGAAGGAUGACUGCCCUAUGGGUUGUAAACUUCUUUUAUACGGGAAUAACAAGCGGCACGUGUGCCGCUCUGCGUGUACCGUAUGAAUAAGCAUCGGCUAACUCCGUGCCAGCAGCCGCGGUAAUACGGAGGAUGCGAGCGUUAUCCGGAUUUAUUGGGUUUAAAGGGAGCGUAGACGGGUCCUUAAGUCAGUUGUGAAAGUUUGCGGCUCAACCGUAAAAUUGCAGUUGAUACUGGGGACCUUGAGUGCGGCAGAGGCAGGCGGAAUUCGUGGUGUAGCGGUGAAAUGCUUAGAUAUCACGAAGAACUCCGAUUG
rnacentral:rRNA from 1 species